CUCGCUUCUCCCCUGACAAAGCAAUGAGGCGACCAUCAAGGCAACGCGAUGGGGGAAGCAGUCGCUCUGGCCGACGUAGGGGUUGAGGACCACGUCACCCACCAAAUCCCUCGCGCGUGCGCCCGCCAGAAUCCCGCGCUCGUGCAUGUGCUCCCGCCAAAUCCCACGCUCGCGCUGAAACAGAGAAGCUGCGAACGAGGGGAAGGCGCGAGCGAGCUGAGGCGAAAGACGCGCGAAGAAGGCGGCGCGCACUGGUCGUCCUCGACAGCCCGCCGGUAACAGCUUCGAUCUGCUGCUUCUGCAAGAAAUUAGAAGUCAACUGUGAGAAAGAUAUGGCAGGGAAGUCAACAGGAAGCCUCGAUGAUAUGAGACAUUUUUUCUGUGAUUCAAGUGAGAAUGAUAUGGCAAAAAGUCAGUCUGAAUUUUGAGAAUGGUGAACAAUAGCGUAUAACAUGUGAUAAUUUUUGGUUUCUGAAGUACUUAACAUAUGUGAUAUGAUUUUCGUGGCUUGUAUUCAGAAUUGUGCUACCA